AAACUACAGCCCGCCAAAAUUCAACAAUUCGGCUGCCAUGUUGUAUUGUUGGACAGAAGGAAAGAGAGUGUCACGAAGAAGGGAACUGCUGUCAUUAUUAGCUUGGAAUGGAAUUUGUAUUUUGACAAAAGAUGCAGACAUUUUAAGACCCGCUGAAGUACUCGAUUUGCACAGCGCCGGCAUAUAAUCAUCAAGUUUGAUGAAAUGUCCUAAUAUGUAAAUGUAGAUGCUAAGUCAUUCAGUCAUCUAGCUUGUGAGAAUGGAAUGCUCACAAAAAGGACAAGAGCGAGAGAGCUGUAUGGAAAUUUACACAAAGGGUCAGUUAACGGAGUAAGCUGAUAUGGAGGAUAAUAUAUCCUCGGAUAAUAUAUCAAAGGCAGCAUAGGCAUCCAAACUCC